AAUUUGUUGAUGCGUAAUGCACGCUAUUCAAACUUAGUUUUGCCCUCUUUUUAAAUAGUUGUGACUGAAUCAUCUUUGCUAGUUGUUAACGGUGUUUCGGGACACGUCUGAAUUGUAUAUGGCAUAAAAUUAUUAGAGGUUACGUUUAUCGAAAUAAAACCUUACAUCUCUCCCCUGUUUCGAGAAAACGCUUUUCGUGUAGGGUCAUAUUAUAUUAGUGGCCAGUAUUUCUUUUGCUAGUUGAUUUAUGUGAAACACGUGGCAGUUAUAAUAGGAUUAUUGUAAGGCAACCUCCAUGGAAUAUGUCUGCCGAAAAAAGAGUGAGGCUUCUGGAGGCAGCUUACGAUGGAGCUGUGGAAGAGCUGAAAGAACUGCUGUGUGUGGGGACGGACGUAGGGUUGAGGGACGAGCACGAGAUGACUGCCCUGCACUGUGCGGUGGAAGGCGGAAGUGUGGAGGCGGUCAGAAUUCUCCUUGACAGUGGGGCAGACGUGAAUGCCAGGAACCAGGAGUGGGACACGCCGCUGCACAUCGCUGCGUUCUUCGGCUACGUGGCCGUCGUGCGGCUGCUGCUGUCAGUGUCGGCGGACCCGAGUCCCAGCUGCCAGAAAGGGUGGACGCCACUGCACUGGGCAGCACAGGAGGGGCACGCCGAGGUGGUGGCCGCACUUUUAGGUGCAGGAGCAGACAUGCGCAUCAGGGACGUAGAGGGGAGGACGCCGCUGGACCUCGCCAGGCAGUACGGCAGAUGGGAGCUGGUCACUAUUCUCACAUAAGGGCGUCAGUUUACUAUGUGUGUGCCUGCUACUGAAGUUCCCAUGUACAUCAGUGGCCUACCCCAUAUAUGUGCAGUGACAUGAUUGUAGAUUUAAUUAAAAGUCUGUUUUUACCAGACAAGACAGGCUUCUACUACAGCCACACAAAAGACAACAUACCGAUACAGUUUUUUGGCCCUGUUUUCUGUGUUGAAAGCAUAGUAAAAAGAGUGCGUACUCUUGGCCCGUUAUAUCAUAAAAAGGAGACUCCUGUUGCAGAUCAUCUGGUGGACCAUGUUAACCCAAAAAAGAAGAGAAAAGUUAUCAUGGACACACAAAAGAAAGGCUGUCCAGCAACAUUGGACGUUAAGAGUGUCAGGGUAUUCCCCGAUUAUUCGAUAAACUCGGCAACAGACAGUUAAAAAAAAAAAAAAGUUCACAGGUACUCUGCGUUCUUGUGCCACAUUUAAAAGCAACAUUCAGAUCAGCUUUUUUGGUUCUUUUGUAUUGCAUGGGAGCAAUGGACAAGCCACAAGUAAAGUUUACAAGAGAGUUGCAGUUGCAGAUCACCUUGGCAACAUCAAGGUGACACAGUUGUCUUCUCCCAGCAGCGAGAGGCAAUAUUGUGAUCAUUCCUCUGAACCUCCUUCUCUCGUGGAAAGUGUAAUUGACACACAAUGCAUACCCAGGUGGGGUAGUCCCUACAGUUAAAAAUAAGGUUGCAGUAGCACAUUAACUGGUUGUGUAUCAUCAAGGUGCAUAAAGUGAUAACAUUUAUUUACAUAAAUUCUUAUUACAAGGCAAUUUUUUCAAUUAAUUUUGCUUUCUACGCUUAAUCAGACCGUAUCAGUCCAAGGGAAAAUAUAGUGAACACAAAUGAGAGAGUGCUCAGCUACAGUUUCAGACAAAUGGCUGAAUUUUCCAGGUUUUCUGUUCAGUGAACAAAUUACCACAUGGAGACAGAAAUGAGUAUAGUAUCUGAUUCUGAAUUAUAUUUUUAGGAGCAUGUUAUUUUACCACUUCACUGUACAUGAUUUGACAACUUUGUAUUGUUACAGGUUGCUGCAGAAGUGGCCUUGGUGUUCAAGCAAGACAGAAAGGCAAAUUUCUGAACUUUUUUUUUUAUCAUGAUGCUAUUACAUCAUCCUAAGGAUAUGAUGUAGCUAGUGCCACAUUCUCAAAGUCUGUCAAUGUUUAUAGUGCUGUAGGUCAGGUUUAUAACCAGCCUAGCCAACUGCCUUUCAUCUUGUUCCUCUGAUGAAGUUGAGCUUCUGGGAUUGUCACUGCCUUGGUUUACUGCCUCCUCACUGCUGUGGACUAUGUAUGUGAGUUGGACAUAUGAAGAAAUGUCAUUGUUUUAUUAUCCUUUUUGAGCGAAAACUAAAUGUUACAGAUAAUAAAACAAUGUGGUAUCAAUAA